GCCUACAGCCAUGCUACCCUGAACAAGCCCGAUCCUGUCUGAUCUCGGAAGUUAAGCAGGGUCGGGCCUGGUUCAUACUUGGAUGGGAGACCACCUAGGAAGAUCAGGUGCUGCAGGUG
rnacentral:rRNA from 1 species